GCUGGGCGUGGUGGUGCGCACCUGUAAUCCCAGCUACUCAGGAGGCUGAGGCAGGAGAAUCACUUGAUCCCAGGAGGCAGAGGUUGCAGUGAGCCAAGAUUGCGCCACUGCACUCCAGCCUGAGCAACAAAGUGAGACUCUGUCUCAA
ensembl:misc_RNA Metazoa_SRP Metazoan signal recognition particle RNA